rnacentral:rRNA from 1 species
UACGUAGGGUGCGAGCGUUAAUCGGAAUUACUGGGCGUAAAGCGUGCGCAGGCGGUGAUGUAAGACAGAUGUGAAAGCCCCGGGCUCAACCUGGGAAUUGCAUUUGAGACUGCGUAGCUAGGGUGCGGAAGAGGGAAGCGGAAUUUCCGGUGUAGCGGUGAAAUGCGUAGAUAUCGGAAGGAACACCAGUGGCGAAAGCGGCUUCCUGGUCCAGCACCGACGUCAGGCACGAAAGCGUGGGGAGCAAACAGG